UAAAAACGUUUUCUUUCUUUAUUUUAACACUAUGAAAUGAAGUGGCAGUAGUAGUAGUGGGUAUCAUCAGUGGUCCCAAUUAGCAGAGUCCACGCUCAGGUGAACAAUGGUCCCCCUCAUCAGACAUGAAAUAUGCUCUCAAUUAAUCACAGGGAUACGUAACCUGAUCUGGGGUAUUUUCUCAUCUUUUUCUUGACCGCCGGGUCUAGAUAAUCCAAAGGCCUUGAUGUACCAUUGCCCUGUUGGAUGUCUGCUGACUAAUGUACCAGUAAAUGAUAAAAUAAGUAAGAGGGGGUGGCACAAGUCAAGUGGAACUUAAUUACCUCUGACAAGAGUUUUUGAGGGGGAAAAAAGGAUACCAGAUCACACACAUUGGGAUUGUGUGACAACAAUGACCAGCGCUCUAGAAGUAAAGGUAAUGCAUACCACAUGAACGUAAACUAUUAUUUAUAACCAGAUGUUUUAAAGCACAUGACGAAUCGCACAGUACUGGCAAUCAAAUGAUUUCUUUUCCGAUCUAUACCACCCAGCAAUCCCCCUCCAGAAAAACAUGUUUGCGUGUGACCGAGGCAAGUAAAAGGCGGUCUCCAGGGCCUUCCAUACAGCAAGCGUCCCAUGUUCCUCCUGGGGGUCCGAGCGCUGUGUGCAUCUGGAAGAGAUAUUUGGCUGAGCACCGAGCAGAGGAGCAGCCAACAAGAAGCAGGUCCAACAACAUGCCUCUCAGCACGAGCGGGAAGUCUAAUUUUCACAUCUGCUCAAGUGAGAGGCUUAAAGCAACAAUCACUUAAGAUAACAAGACUGUAUAAAUUACAAUGGCAAUGAAUUUAACUAGCAAAGCUCUUAAACACCCAAUAUUGUGGCUGUUUGAAGGUUCCUGCUGAGUUGAGCAACUGCGGUGAGUAACCGGUGACUCAAAGAAGUGGCAGAAGUUCAGCACAGAAAGCUUAAAAGCUAUAUUUCUACUGUCAUGUUUCGAAUCCUGGCAAUGAGUAAUGAUGGGACAUCCUUUAAGAUCUUUGUCUUCAGCUAUGACCAUUUAAUAUAUUUUAAAAUGCAGUUUAUUCCAGUGAUCAAAGCUGAAUUUUCAGAAUGGUUACUCCAGUCUUCAGUGUCACAUGAUCCUUUAGAAAUCAAUCUUGUUUGCUGAAUUUGCUGCUCAAGAAACAUUUUUUUUUUUUUUUUUAUCCAUGUUGAAAACCAUUGUUCAGCGUAAUAUUUUUGUGUAAACGGUGAUACUUUUUUUCAGGAUUCUUUGAUAAAGUUCAAAAGAACAGCAGUUAUUUGAAAUAUAAAUCUUUUGAAACAUUAUUAAUGUCUUGGUGAUCAAUUUAAUGCAUUCUUGCUUAAUAAAAAUAUCAAUUUCUUUCCA
ensembl:lncRNA